CAGUAGCCACGGUAAUACGGAGGGGGCUAGCGUUGUUCGGAAUUACUGGGCGUAAAGCGCACGUAGGCGGCUUUACAAGUCAGAGGUGAAAGCCUGGUGCUCAACACCAGAAUUGCCUUUGAGACUUUAUCGCUUGAACGUCGGAGAGGUGAGUGGAAUUCCGAGUGUAGAGGUGAAAUUCGUAGAUAUUCGGAAGAACACCAGUGGCGAAGGCGGCUCACUGGACGACUGUUGACGCUGAGGUGCGAAAGCGUGGGGAGCAAACAGGAUUAGAUACCCCAGUAGUCCCUGUCUCUUAUAC
rnacentral:rRNA from 1 species